UCAGCCACAACUACAUUACCCACCAAAAGCACAAUCAAUACAACAGAAGAAAUCGCAAGUAUUGUAACACGCCAGAUAUAUACGGAUAAAAGUACAAUCCAGUCCACUGAACUAGACAAUUCCAAACUUGCAAAACCCACAGAAUCAUAUACGCCUGAAGAUAGAUCUGGAAGAACAGAAGAAAUCUUAAAUACUAUGUCCAUGGUUUUACAUAAAGAUACACCAGUAGAUACUGGUGUUAUUGCUGGAAGCGUCGUGGGAUGUAUUCUAGUGGUCAUAUUAGUUAUCAUUGUCGUAGUCGUCAUACUAAAACGAAAGAAGGGUAUAUGUUAUAAAGAAGGUGGUACCUCCAAUACAGUGUACGACACACCAACUAGUUUUAACCAGGACGCUUCGCCCUACACUGAUUUAACAGUGAGUAACCACUGUAGAAGUGGACACCAGCCCUAUCAUGAAAAUUCGCCCGUUUAGGUUAGCAAAAUCAUGAUGACUUUGUUCAAAAAGAAUGCAACGGUUUGAAGUACAUUGUCCCUGUCCAUGCAAUAUGUAUUAAAUGGAUUAUGAUGGGUUUACGAUGACUGACAAUAAUAAACUUCAAAUGGAACGAAAUUAAAUGGGGUUUGACGUCCUGCCCCAACUGGGCUAAUAAAGACGGUCAUACUUCGUGAUCAUGCAUUGUGCUAUAAGGGAGAUUUUAUGGCACACCAGCUCCGACCUGGCUAUAUAUAGACAAUUAUAUGGUGAACAGUACGAGACAAACUAUAUGUAAUCAUUGAAUGUAUAUAUGUACAUGAAUAAAAACCAAAUAUUACUGAAUAUCAAAUAAUUGAAAAUAAA